rnacentral:piRNA from 1 species
UAUUAAUCAAUGCCACUGAUGUUGUUUGUG